GUGGCGAACGGGUGAGUAACACGUGGGUAAUCUGCCCUGUACUCUGGGAUAAGCCUGGGAAACUGGGUCUAAUACCGGAUAUGACCUUUCACCGCAUGGUGGGGGGUGGAAAGUUCCGGCGGUAUGGGAUGAACCCGCGGCCUAUCAGCUUGUUGGUGGGGUAAUGGCCUACCAAGGCGACGACGGGUAGCCGGCCUGAGAGGGUGACCGGCCACACUGGGACUGAGACACGGCCCAGACUCCUACGGGAGGCAGCAGUGGGGAAUAUUGCACAAUGGGCGCAAGCCUGAUGCAGCGACGCCGCGUGAGGGAUGACGGCCUUCGGGUUGUAAACCUCUUUCACCAAGGACGAAGCGGGAGUGACGGUACUUGGGGAAGAAGCACCGGCUAACUACGUGCCAGCAGCCGCGGUAGUACGAAGGGGGCUAGCGUUGUUCGGAUUUACUGGGCGUAAAGCGCACGUAGGCGGACUUUUAAGUCAGGG
rnacentral:rRNA from 1 species